AUGGCAACCGCAGGGCUCCAGGGAUUCUGUGACCACGGUCACUAUGGUUCAAGUCCCGCGAGAGGGAUGAACUCCACUCCAGCCCCAGAAAAGGGACAAAACAGCAGCUGCUCGCUCUGGUGGGGAGGAUUUGGGGGAGGGGGGCCAGAGAGCCGGAGCUGGGUGGGAGGGGCGGGCGGGGCCUGCGCUGGGACUCAGAGAAUGUGCUGGCUCUGGGGCCCUGCGCUCCUGCCCUCUGCAAGAACGUGCUGCUGCUGCUGCUAUUGCUCCUCCCUGGGGAGGGGCUGCACCUCCGGGUCCAAGUUCAUGGGUGGGAGAGGCCACUGGGAUUGGCCUUUCGGGGGCAGGUACUGGGGGGGCGGACCCUUGGGGAAGGCCAGAGCACCAGGCCUCAUCAUGGGUAAAAUGGGGAAGCUCGGGCGCAAUCCAGAUGGCUCUACAGCUGACCCUGAAUGGGGAGCAUACCUGGGCUCCUCUGGGUCGGGGGCGGGGGGGACAGGCAGUGCCAUCCCAAGAGCCCUUGAACGUGUAGGGGGUGGGAAGAAAGGUCAGGGGCGCAGCGUUGGGGCUCAGCCUGUUGGCCUUGAAGGUGAAGCAAAGCCCUCUAGAAGCCAGGAAAUACACGGACAGUGCCCUGGAGGUUCCUGGAAGGAACCAGCCCUGCCACACCCUGAUCCAAGCCCCGAGCCUGAGCCUCCGGGAGGCUGGUGUGGCCUCCUGACCCCUCCAGGUGGUAGAGCGGUAGGUCAGAGUUACUUUAGGUUCCUAAAUUCUCAGGGAUGUGUUAUGGCAAUGAUGGGAGCCUGGCCCCGGCGCCCCCCUGGGGCCCACCCCCAGCCCCACCUACCGCUGGGGCCCGGAGCCUCACUGCCCCCCUCCCAGAAUAUAUGCCAAGCCUCAAAUCUGAGGUCUCUGGAAUCACCCAGCCCAGCAGCACCUUCACAGCCGGUGACACGGAGGCUCAGCCCGGCGGUCUGGGCCACACCAAGUGCCUGGGGUUCUGUGGAGCCGCCCCUGCCCCUCGGCCCCCAGGCUCCCUGGCUCCCACCCUGCAGGUGGGUGAGGGCACAGCAGCAGGGGCCAGGAGCCGACCCCUCCUUCCCUGAGCACCCUGAACUAUCCACGUCCCUUCUGUGUCGUCCGAGCCCUCCUUCCAAAGGAGCUGGUGGCCGGGAUUGA
rnacentral:lncRNA from 1 species